ACCGCCUGGGGAGUACGGCCGCAAGGUUAAAACUCAAAUGAAUUGACGGGGGCCCGCACAAGCGGUGGAGCAUGUGGUUUAAUUCGAUGCAACGCGAAGAACCUUACCUGGUCUUGACAUCCAGAGAAUCCUGCAGAGAUGCGGGAGUGCCUUCGGGAACUCUGAGACAGGUGCUGCAUGGCUGUCGUCAGCUCGUGUUGUGAAAUGUUGGGUUAAGUCCCGCAACGAGCGCAACCCUUAUCCUUUGUUGCCAGCACAUAAUGGUGGGAACUCAAAGGAGACUGCCGGUGAUAAACCGGAGGAAGGUGGGGAUGACGUCAAGUCAUCAUGGCCCUUACGACCAGGGCUACACACGUGCUACAAUGGCGCAUACAAAGAGAAGCGAACUCGCGAGAGCAAGCGGACCUCAUAAAGUGCGUCGUAGUCCGGAUUGGAGUCUGCAACUCGACUCCAUGAAGUCGGAAUCGCUAGUAAUCGUGGAUCAGAAUGCCACGGUGAAUACGUUCCCGGGCCUUGUACACACCGCCCGUCACACCAUGGGAGUGGGUUGCAAAAGAAGUAGGUAGCUUAACCUUCGGGAGGGCGCUUACCACUUUGUGAUUCAUGACUGGGGUGAAGUCGUAC
rnacentral:rRNA from 1 species